ACAGCUCAUUGCUCUCACAGUAGAACACCUGAAGAUCUAUGGCCUAUUUGAAAAGUUUUGCCAAAACUGUCUGGUCAAUAUACCAAGCCAGUUCACGAGAAGCCGGGGCAGAAAGUGGAUAAUUUUGUGUCAGGACAUCUGGACAAACAGAAGUGUAAUCUUGCAAUGAACAAGAAUUAGUUGUGAAAUGGGGUGAGGCAGAGCAUGGUUCAGAUAGACAGGUUGGAAGCAGGAAGGGAGAGGAUUAAUUCUCUGGUGGUGGAACACAAACUACUCAUCUUCAGGGCACCCAUAGAAAGGAAUCCAUAAGAUCCUGGCAGCCCAGGAAAAAUAACCUAUGUCAGCUUCCUGUGCAGAACAUGAAAGCCAAGAUCCUCCAGCACCAUCACAAGACACUUCC
rnacentral:lncRNA from 1 species